rfam:Paenibacillus sp. IHB B 3415 contig_071, whole genome shotgun sequence.
UAUGAAUGCACGCUGAAUUUCCGCCAAGCGGAAAACGGGGGAACCAUCAGGCCGCAGGCCUACUUGGGGUGAAUCCGAAGGAGACUUCAAUUGCGCAGUCUCAAAAGGUAGGGCGACUCUCACCGUCCGAAUCCGACAGCUAACCCCGUAAGCGUAAAGAGAGAGAUCUU